rnacentral:rRNA from 1 species
CCCUUAGAUGUCCUGGGCCGCACGCGCGUUACACUGAUGCAUUCAACGAGCUUAUAACCUUGGCCGAGAGGCCUGGGCAAUCUUGUUAACGUGCAUCGUGAUAGGGAUAGAUUCUUGAAAUUAUUAAUCUUGAACGAGGAAUUCCUAGUAAACGCAGAUCAUCAAUCUGCAUUGAUUACGUCCCUGCCCUUUGUACACACCGCCCGUCGCACCUACCGAUUGGAUGGUCCGGUGAAGCCUCGGGAUUGUGGUUCUUGCCGCUUUAUUGUGGCGUGACCGCGAGAACUUGUCUAAACCUUAUCAUCUAGAGGAAGGUGAAGUCGUAACA